GCGCCCGUAGCUCAGUGGAUAGAGCAUCGGCCUCCGAAGCCGUGUGCGUGGGUCCGACUCCCACCGGGCGCACCA
rnacentral:tRNA from 1 species